rnacentral:lncRNA from 1 species
CCGUAAUCAAGUCCUAAAGAGAAAAUGGCUAAGUAAUUUAAUGAGUGGAUCAGGCCUAUUCUUAUAAAAAAUAAAGUGACGUGUAUCUCUAAAAUUUCAAAUUUUUCAUCGCUUCUGCUUUUUAAUAAGGCACCUCAUCGGCGUAAGUACAUAUCGACCUUAAGGACAACCACAAUAACCUAUAAAAGAUGACAUAAAAAAUACUAAUGAGAAAUAAAAAUUGAAAAAGUAUCAACAGAAGUUCAAAAAAUAUGCAAACCUAUUAAAUAAGGCAUUUAAAGGAAGUAUAUGUUUAUCUUUCUUUAUUCUUCUUUAUAGCUCUCCAGGAUAUUCUUUAUUGUACACUUUAAAAGUCUAAGUCUGUAUUAAUCCAAAUUUUAUUAAUGUUCAAAAUGUUGAGAUUCCGCCUAAAAAUCAAAGCGUCCACCUGUCAUAGGCAAUUAUACUUUAUCUGCAUCAAAUUUAAUAAGUGUCGGAGCACUACAAGAUUCAGCAUACGUCGGAGAGAAAGGGAGGAUGCCGAAUUAGUUAGCAGACUUCCAACAAUGUCAUAAGUUAUUACUUCGAACCAACAAAAAUUAUAAACUUGCUAUAGUAAAAAAAUUGUAUGGAAUAUAAAGUUAAAAGAAAUGGCAGUGGGAACGUAUAGAAGAUAAAUAAUGUAGCAUACUUUGAAAUCAAAAAAUACAAUUCAAGAUCAUGUUGACAUCCACUCCCACAAACCGAUCACCAUUCAAUACUCUCCAUCUUGUUCUUCAGGUUAAACUCAAAGCAUAAAUAUCAUUAGUACCAAAAUCAUAACUUAAAAGGCUAACUUGAUUAUUUUUAGAAAGUCUUGCGAUCUUUAAUUAAGAAAAUAAAAAUAAAGUUUUACUCUGUCUCUAUAGGAUUAUAAUAUGGAAUAUAUUUUUUGAUUUAUAACUCUUGUUUAUCUGUUCCUACCAAUAGACGUAUAUAUCAUGAAAUCUAAAAUUAAACAAAAUUAAAGUACCGAUAAUUUAUUCAUAACCAUUUAGAUUAACGAACAUUACAUUAUAUUAUAUAUUACAGAAAACUUUUCAUCUUCUAUACUUUAUUUACAUUCUAAUUGACUAUCGUAUAUAAGUCAUAAUUAUAAAAUCUAAAAAUUGCACAAAUACACAACUUAUGUUUUCAAUAUUACAAAAAAUUUUAACCCCCUAAACAUAUUACAAAAAUUCCAAAAUUUACACAAAAUGCUAUGUAUAUGCCGGCUAUGUUAUGUAUAUUAAUAGGGAGAGGGAGUAAAGUAAUUAAAAAAGUGGGAGAGGGUUUAAUUACUUCUAAAGAGGUUGGUAUUUAUGUUAUUUAUACUUAUAAAAUUACUCCAAAAAAUUAAAAGUUACUUUGAUUUAGCACCAUUUCUUAUGUAGCAUCUUUCUACCGUAGAAUUGAGAAGAAAACUAAAGAAAUGUUUCAAAUAUGUUAGUAUCUUUUCGUGUUUCAUAUUUAUGAUCAAAACUUAAUAUAUAUUAAUUAAAAAUUAAAACAUAUUUCUAUCUAAGAUUAUUAUGAUUUCAUCCAAAGCCUAAUUUUGAAAAGAGAGAGAGAGAGAGAGAGAGAAGCUAUUAUCAAUUUAAUAAACUUCGAUCAAUUAAUAUUUUCUUCAAUUUCCUUAAUUUCACACUAUUAUAUUUCUCAUAUUCUAAAAUAUUAUUAAAACGUAAAUUACUUGUUCAAUAACCCUAUCUUUAAACAAAAAACACAAAAAAAGCAUAUAUAUUCUUACCUUGAAAAUUGAUUAUGAGAAUUACAUAAGUGUUUAGCAUAAAUUUGUGACCAAAAAAUAUUAAAAGAAAAUUAUAAUCUCAAUUUUUCAAGGAAGAUUUAUAUUCUGAAAAGUAACUCUUUUGCUUCUUUGGUCAUUAAAUUAUUCAAUCACAAUAUAAAAAGAAAUUUUUAUUAAGAUUAAUAAAUUUUUCUUACAAAUAUAAACAAAAAAUAUGAGAAAAUAAUACAUUUGUUUACCUUGAGAAUUGCUCAUGAGAAUUAUAAAAUUUUGGAGCAUAAAUUUGCAACUAAGAAAUAUAGAAAGAUUUUUUAAUUAAGAUUUUAUGAGUGUAAUAAAUUUUUCUUACAAAAUAUAAAUAAAAACAUAUUAAAUUAUUCCAUCACAAUAUAGAAAGAAAUUUUUAUUAAGAUUUUAUGAGCGUAAUAAAUUUUUCUUACAAAAUAUAAACAAAAACAUGGGAAAAGAAUACAUUUGCUUACUUUGAGAAUUGCUUGUGAAAAUUACAAAAAUUCAGAGCAUAAAUCUUCAACUAAAAAAUAUAGAAAG